GAUGAACGCUGGCGGCGUGCUUAACACAUGCAAGUCGAACGAUGAAGCCCAGCUUGCUGGGUGGAUUAGUGGCGAACGGGUGAGUAACACGUGAGUAACCUGCCCUUAACUCUGGGAUAAGCCUGGGAAACCGGGUCUAAUACCGGAUAGGAGCGUCCACCGCAUGGUGGGUGUUGGAAAGAUUUAUCGGUUUUGGAUGGACUCGCGGCCUAUCAGCUUGUUGGUGAGGUAAUGGCUCACCAAGGCGACGACGGGUAGCCGGCCUGAGAGGGUGACCGGCCACACUGGGACUGAGACACGGCCCAGACUCCUACGGGAGGCAGCAGUGGGGAAUAUUGCACAAUGGGCGCAAGCCUGAUGCAGCGACGCCGCGUGAGGGAUGACGGCCUUCGGGUUGUAAACCUCUUUCAGUAGGGAAGAAGCGAAAGUGACGGUACCUGCAGAAGAAGCACCGGCUAACUACGUG
rnacentral:rRNA from 1 species